UAGAAACACUAGUUCUCAUCCAAUCAGCAAAGUUAAGCAGUGUUGAGGCUGAUCAGUACCUAGAUGAGUGACCGCUUGGGAAUAUCAGGUUCUGUAA